UGAUGCAUCCUGGUCGACCAGAGUUGGUGGGGGCGGAGCUUUUCGAGACGGGGAGAGCGCCGAUGGUGGUGCUUUGACGCCUCAGCCGGCGCUAGCGGCGAUGGGUAGAGUUGCAGCUCGCGUCCUUCUCCGGCCAACGAGGAAGAGAUCGGAUAUUCGGGAGCACGGAUGGCAUGUGCGCCUCCGGCGAGAUGGGGGCUUGCUUUCUUGAACACUCCUUCCGCUGAUUCGUUGCUGCAUUUCUGGAUGUUUUCCAGCAAGAGCAAACACAACAUCAGUCUGAAUCUUGAUCAGAUCUUCCCAAGAUAUCUGUUGUAGAAUAGUGUCCUUCCCAUGGAAAGGUAUAGCAUGUAUUAAUAUUUCAGUCAUUCUCAGUGUUCUAAGUCAUGUUUUUCAGGCAGGUAAUUUGUCAGUAUUUUAGUUUUCAUUUCUUGCAGUCAUAUUAUUUUUUCUCUAGUCAUUUGUCUAAUUCUUCAGUCCCUCAGUCUUUUAGUUUUUCAGUAACUUAGUCUCUCAAUUAAGCCUCUUUGUUUUCAGUUUUUAGUCCCUCUCUGUUUAGUCCCUCGGUUUAUUUUCUAAAGUCUCUCACCAAUUCACUCACUCAUUUUUCGGCAUUUCACUCAGUAACUUAGUUAUUCAGUUUUUUUUCUCUUCAGCCUCUCAGUGUAUGUCUUCAGUUUUCACUUUCUGAUGUUCAAUCUUUAUUACGUUCAUCAUUUUUUUUAGUCCUUCAUUCCUCGGGUUUUCAUUGUCCGUUGUUCAGUUCAUCAUUUUUUUCUUCAUUCUUCAGUGUCUCAUUCUUUAGUCCUCACUCACUCUUGAGUCUCUAAGUCUCCAACAACUUUCCAAUAACUCAUUUAUUAGUCCUCGACCUUCUUUCUCCGGGCCACACUUUCUUCAAUAUCUCAGUCUUUGGUGGCUCUUCACUAACUCUAAGUAUUUAUGUUUACUCUUAGUCUUUAUUUGCAUUAACUCUCAUUCUUCAGUCUUUGAUGUCUUUUUCUUCAGCCAGUCUUCAAUGACCCUUUUUUCAUUUUUAGUCAAAAGUGAGAACAAGACGGAAGAUUUCAUAAUGGAUAUAAAGACACUUUUUCCCUAGACCAGAGGGGAGAUCGGAGAGUGGAUACUUUUCAGUUCUACAUGGAACAUCAAGUUGUCAAAAACAUCCUGAUGUCUUUCAAUCACAACAUACCAAAAUUAAUGAAGCACAUGGCAGGGAAUUCAGAGGCAAAACCUUUGUUGGAAGAGAUUCGGCAGUCCCAGGUAUGUUGGCUUGGAGAACUUUUUUGCCUUUCUUCUUCUUCGUUUCUUCCAUUCCUGAAAAUUUAUCUUUUCCCUCCAUUUUCUUGAGGUAGCCUCUGGAUCUCGAGCUUCCAUAGAGGAGCAGCCGC